AAAGUUAAUGGUUUGAAUAUUGGAUUUGGAUAUUCUGAUUCAUGUGUUGGAAAUAAGGCAAUUAGUUUAAGUGGUUAAGGAAAUAGGUUGGUAAUUAUUAAAUGAUUAAGCGAAAAUGGAAGAACAAAGGUUAUAGCUUUUAAGAACCUAAAUGAAGACUAGUUCGUAUCGCUUCGAUACAAAAUAAUUAACAAAGAAGAGACAAAUGAGAUUGGAUUGAACGAUCAAUCAAGAUAGCCAGAAACUAGAACGAUUAUUUAAAUAGAAAAACUAAAAUUCUUCUAAAUUAAUUUCUAACUUCGUUUCAUAUAUAUAAUUUUAUGCUAAUCUAAUUAAUAAUUGUAAAAUUAUAAAAAAAGUCAAGCUGUUAACGAGUUUUCAAAAAAGAUACAUCUCCUACUGUAAUUAUAAAAUCAUAAAAAAAUCAAGCUGUCGACGAAUCCCUAAAAAAGAUACGCCAGUUUAACACACUGAGGAAGAAUGCUUCUCAGUGGGGACAACCGAAUGGGGAAUGCAAUGUUAGAAGAGAGAGAAGGGGAGGGAGGGAAGCACAGGCCUGCGAUUGUAAUACACGUGGCACAACAGUAGUUAUCGAGAGAGACAGAUGCGAAAUUGAAAAAGAAACGAGACGAAGAGGUGCGAGCAGAUUAUGCAGCGAAACUUGCGACUGUUUAAUAAACGAUAUCGAUAAAAACUGUAAACAGAGAAAGGAAUUCGUUACCAUCAGUGAUAUAUUCAACGUGUGCACGUUGAACAGAUAUGAGCCACGAUGGAACUCGUUUCGGUAUUUUAUCGCGUCUUGUGCGUGAAAAAAAAUUCAAUAUCACCUUUGUUCGAGGUAUGAGCAAAUAAUGAUAAAUUGGAAUACGUAAUUGAAUCUGGAGGAUGCAAUUUCUCGUACUUUUAUAUUUUCUAUUGUUAUUGCACACAGUAAGUACAAAUCUAAUAUUAUCAUGUAUUUAAUAAAAAAAAAAAAAAAAAGCAAUUUUGAAGUCAAUCAGAAAUACAAUGCAAAUAAAUUAAAAAAUCUGCACAGUAAUGAAUAAAACGAAAUAUUGUAAUUUAAAAGAGAGUAAUAAAAGUUAAAUUGAUUUUCAAGCGAAAUUAGGAAUGGAGGAAUAUUGAUUGGAAAAGAGAGCAAUUUGCCGAAAAAUGUUGGAGGAAAAACGCGUAGUCGACAAGUGUUUCGCACACUUUGAAAUAAUCGUGUCGUCAUCGAGAACCCGGACUCGUUCCAGCCGACGGAUGUUACUCGGUUAUUUACGAUUGGGAAAAAACCAGAAUGCAUGAUGUUCAACGCGAGUUGCAGCAAGGACGCGCACAACAAUUCGCGAAUUAGUUGCGUGAAAUUGCUGUGACUACCUGUUGGACUUUCGAUUUCUUCUGGAACUUUGCCUCCUUGUCAUUAUUGUUGUCAUCGAUAUGACACAUGUUUCUUUGUGUUAUUUGAUUUAUUAAUAAACGUGACCGA